UGGCUUCCGGAGCUAACGCGUUAAAUCGACCGCCUGGGGAGUACGGCCGCAAGGUUAAAACUCAAAUGAAUUGACGGGGGCCCGCACAAGCGGUGGAGCAUGUGGUUUAAUUCGAUGCAACGCGAAGAACCUUACCUGGUCUUGACAUCCACAGAACUUAGCAGAGAUGNUUUGGUGCCUUCGGGAACUGUGAGACAGGUGCUGCAUGGCUGUCGUCAGCUCGUGUUGUGAAAUGUUGGGUUAAGUCCCGCAACGAGCGCAACCCUUAUCCUUUGUUGCCAGCGGUUAGGCCGGGAACUCAAAGGAGACUGCCAGUGAUAAACUGGAGGAAGGUGGGGAUGACGUCAAGUCAUCAUGGCCCUUACGACCAGGGCUACACACGUGCUACAAUGGCGCAUACAAAGAGAAGCGACCUCGCGAGAGCAAGCGGACCUCAUAAAGUGCGUCGUAGUCCGGAUUGGAGUCUGCAACUCGACUCCAUGAAGUCGGAAUCGCUAGUAAUCGUAGAUCAGAAUGCUACGGUGAAUACGUUCCCGGGCCUUGUACACACCGCCCGUCACACCAUGGGAGUGGGUUGCAAAAGAAGUAGGUAGCUUAACCUUCGGGAGGGCGCUUACCACUUUGUGAUUCAUGACUGGGG
rnacentral:rRNA from 1 species